AAGCUUUGGCAGCACAUAGACUAAAAUUGAAAUGAUACAGAGAAGAUUAUUAGCAUGGCCCCUGCACAAGAAUGAUAUGCAAAUUUGUGAAGUGUUCCAUAUUUUU
ensembl:snRNA U6 U6 spliceosomal RNA